rnacentral:rRNA from 1 species
AUGGGGAGACGACCUGCUAGGUGCUAUCGCCAGAUAAAAAACAAGCCAUACCCCAAGUCAAGGUACUGUCGUGGUGUACCUGACCCGAAGAUCAGGAUCUAUGAUGUUGGGAUGAAGAAGAAGGGAGUGGAUGAGUUCCCCUCCUGCGUCCACCUGGUCAGCUGGGAAAAGGAGAAUGUCUCCAGCGAGGCUCUUGAGGCUGCCCGUAUUGCUUGCAACAAGUACAUGACGAAGAAUGCUGGAAAGGAUGCGUUCCACCUGAGGGUCAGGGUCCAUACAUACCAUGUCCUUCGCAUCAACAAGAUGCUUUCAUGUGCUGGGGCUGAUAGGCUCCAGACUGGAAUGAGGGGUGCUUUUGGGAAGCCUCUGGGUACCUGUGCUCGUGUGGACAUUGGCCAAGUUCUACUAUCUGUGCGCUGCAAGGAGAGCAAUGCUGUUCAUGCUGAUGAAGCCCUCCGCCGUGCCAAGUUCAAGUUCCCAGGCCGUCAAAAGAUCAUUCGCAGCAGGAAGUGGGGCUUUACCAAGUUCAACAAGGCCGAUUACAUCAAGUACAAGAGUGAGGGAAGAAUCGUGCCUGAUGGUGUCAAUGCUAAGUUGCUUGGUGUCCAUGGCCCCAUUGCUAAACGUGCCCCUGGGCAGGCGAUCCUGGCUUGA